UAAAUAAAAUCUUUAAAAUAAAAUCUGAUAGAUCUUUGGCUUUCAGAUUAAGUCUCAUUCUACUUUGUGGGGCAAUCCCAGAUGAAAAAGGGUGCAAUAUGGAUUUUUUUAAAGCCCUGUCCUAAGUACAGGAAACAAGGACAGUGUUGUUUCUGACCAGGAAAAGGUAAGAUGUUCCCUCAUUACCUCGAUAAACUGUUAGCAGUAGGUCACAGGCAGUGCCUCCUGUUACCAGCACUGGCAGCGGGAGCUGAAAUGUCAGUGAUGAUGAAACGUUUCCAUGGGGAUCCUGCCCGGCUUCAUGGAUGUGGGCACAUUCCUCACACCCACAUUCAAGGAUCCUGGGUGCUGGUGCUGGUGUGUGCUGCUGUGCCCCGGGGCCAGGCACGAGCUGCGUAGCUGCCUUCCGCAGCAGACUCUCCCACAAGCUCGCUGGAUUUCAGUUAGGGGUGCUCACCUGCUUGAGCUCUGUGCUCAUUUCCCAAACAGGUCCUGGCAGGAUGCACAGGGAGUCUCAGCCAGAAUCUAUUUGGUUUCAAUAAGACUCAGUAGCUGAGGCCUGCCCGGGUAAGGUUAGGUGUGCUAACUCAGUAGCUGAGGCCUGCGUGGGUAAGGUUAGGUGUGCUAACUCAGUAGCUGAGGCCUGCCCGGGUAAGGUUAGGUAUGAUAACUCAGCAGCUGAGGCCUGCGUGGGUAAGGUUAGUUGUGCUAACUCAGUAGCUGAGGCCUGCGUGGGUAAGGUUAGGUGUGCUAACUCAGUAGCUGAGGCCUGCGUGGGUAAGGUUAGUUGUGCUAACUCAGUAGCUGAGGCCUGCGUGGCUAAGGUGUGCUAACUUGGCAUGCUACUAGCACCUGAGCCACAUCGGCUGUGCGAGGCCAUCCUUACCUCCUGCAGCCCAUCUGCAAUGCUGUGUCACUCCUGCGGAGGUCACCUCUUCAUCCAGAAAGCAUACAGACCCAUUCCCCCUUCCGUUCAUCUUGUCUUUAUAGGUGUUUGGUUGGCCAUCCGUUGUUUAUGCUCACAACAGUCACUGUGUAUGCACUGCUUUGGGGAUUGGAUAGGUAACACGCAUAUUUCUGGUUUCGAUGACUUUUCAUAAUCCCUUCCUAAAUUGUUGUGCUUUAAGUCUUCUGUUUGACCAACACUGUGGCUUAUGUCCUAGACACAGUUGUUUCCUUGCUUGUUUUCCUUUUGAUCUGACCACCGUCAGUUAGGUGUAAGCACCCAGAUAGACACAGGUUUGGGCAGUUUCUAAUGCAACGUUCAAGAAUUCAAAGUUCCUGCCUUCUGGGAACAUCUAUCUGAGCAAGACUGAGAUUGCUACCCCUAGGUUAAUGGUUCGGGAACUAACCAGGUGUGUUAGCCAUCACACCCCAGGGCUCAUCUCACCUCUCUGAGGGAGGUCUGACUCUUCUCCCUUUACAGACACCAAAGGCUGGGAGAACUACUGAAGCAAUCUCUGUAUCACACGCAGCAGAGCUGGGACACACACCCAGUUUCACCUGACCCCACGUUCAGUGUCUUUCCGUCAGCACUGCAGGAGGGAGGAGAGACCAUCUAGAAACUAUGCAGCUUUUUAGUGGGUUAGAAGACAAGGUACAUUUCUUUUCGUGGUUCUCCUUCUCUCUCAAUUCCAUCGACACCCUCAUUCAGGACUCCUUGCAGACAUUGCCACAUGUCCCCAGGGCAGAAAACUCACCCCUCCCUUGCCCAGUUGAGUACCAGUGCCUUGUGGGUGCGGUGGGUCAUGAGAAAAAUGAAGUAAACACUGCUUAUUGCAGAUUUUUUUCCGAGUCUGGCCUGUGCACCACCUGUGCUAGGCAGAAUAAUGCCCAUUCUCUCCCCCAAAAUGUAUGUACAGCCUAAUCUCUGAAACGGGGAGUAUGUUGACUGCAGGAUCAAAGGGACUUUGCCGAUGUCAUUAUUAGCUAGGGAACUUGAGGUGGGAGGGGAUCCUGCAUGAUUGAGCUGGGUCCGAGAUGAUCACAGGGAUCCUUCUCAGAGGAGGGCAGAGGAAGAUUUGACUACAGAAAAAGGUGUGUCAGAGUGGUACAGCAUGAGAAGGCCUUUCCCAGUGGAGGCCAAAGAUAAAUACAUGUGAGGACAGAAGCAAAGUCAGAAGACGCAACACUGUGCGCAGUGGAGAUGCAGGACGAGGACUAUCAGCUGAGGAAUGUCAGAAGCCUCUAGAAGCUUGAAGAAGCACAGAAAUAGAUUCUCCCCUAGAGCCUCCGGGAGGAACACAGCCUUGCGAACACCUUGAUUUUAGCCCGGUGAGGCUUUUGUCAGUUUUCUGGCCUCCAGAACCGAGAGAAGAAAUUCACAUUGUGAUAGCAGCAGUAAGCCAGCACACCGCCACCAUCAGAUUACCUGAUGUGGGGCUACAAAUACACAUCCCUGGGGCUCAGAGCUAAAGACUCAGAACUUUCUGGGGUGGAGCUCACGCAUCUGCCUUCAUAACCAGCACAUAUCAGGUAACUUCUGGCACCCUAAAAUCUGAGAAGCAUGGAGUGAGUGUAUCUGUUGGCUGCUCUCCUGUGCAUGAUAAAUUCAUCCUUCACUUCCUCAGGAGAUAAAGAGUUCUAAAAAAUCUCUCUAGAAACUGUCCACCAUCUUUUCUCUAAAACUGAAAAAAAAAAAAAGAAAAGAAAAGCAAAAGAAAAGAAAAGAAAAGAAAA